GGCGCUGCCUUGGCAGCCGCCGGACGCGGUGAGCGGCCGGUGUGGCGGGGCUGUGGUGGUGCCGCCAUGCUGGGCGCCACGGCCCCCUUCCGCCGUCCGCAGCGACGGGCCGGGCCCGAGCGCCCGCCCGGUGGCUGCCGCCCGCCGCGGGAGCAGCGUGCGCAAGGGGCGGCCGUCGGCGCCGCUCGCUCCUCAGCGGCGGCGCCCGAGGAGCGGCGGCGGAGGGUGGCUCCGGCCCCGGCGGCCGAGACGGGAGAGGAGCCGCUCCUCAGGGGCAUCUUCGAGAUCAGCAAGAGGAGCUGCGACGUGGUGCUGAGCGCCCGGCGGCUCCGCUGGAGCCCCAUCCUGCCUGAGAGCCCCACAGGUGAUUCAAAUAUUAACUUGCAGGCUCAGGAGGAGAUUAUAGAAAUGAAAGAUGUAUUUUCAGUAAAACUGAAACGUCGUCGUUUUGUAGGGCAGAAAAAAGGUGGUACUUUGUUGGGUAUCACAAUUUUUAAAUGCUUGAAUAAAGAAGAUAAUAAACUAACAGACUGUGCUAUCCAUUUAAAUAACUUAAGUGAAGAUCAUUGUCAUUCAUGGUUUAGACAUCUAAAGGAUAUUUUGAAUGGCUUUCAAAAUAGACCAAAAUCCUUAAAAGUAUUUGUUAAUCCAAGCAGCCACAAAAGAGAAGCCACUCAUGUCUAUUAUGAACAAGUUGCACCUCUUUUUAGGCUUGCUGACAUCAAAACCGAUGUCACAGUAACUGAAUAUGAAGGACAUGCUCUCUCAGUACUUAAAGAAUGUGAACUCCAGGCAUUUGAUGGGGUAGUUUGUGUCGGUGGAGAUGGAUCUGUCAGUGAAGUCACUCAUGGUCUACUACUUAAAGCCCAGAUGGAUGCUGGCAAAGACACAGACUAUAUACCAGCGCCUGUCAGAGCACCAGUUCCUCUUGGAGUAAUACCAGCAGGUACUACUAAUAUUUUGGCCCAUACUCUCCAUGGUAUUAAGCAUGCAGUGACGGCAACGUUGCAUAUUAUAAUGGGACAUAUUCAACCAGUAGAUGUCUGUACUUUCAGUACGCCAACCAAGCUGUUGCGGUUUGGGUUCUCAGCUAUGUUUGGUUUUGGUGCAAGGACUCUGGCUUUGGCCGAGAAACACCGUUGGAUGCCCUCCAAUCAGCGGAAGGAUUUUGCUUUUAUCAAAACACUGGCAGAUCUCAAGCCAGAGGAAUGUGAAUUAUCAUUUCUACCUCUACAAAUUCCACAGGAAGACUCUCAUGAGAAUGACAAAAAGAAGAGAGAGAAAAUUAAAAAGAAGGGUAGCAAGGAUCAAUGGCACAAAAUUCAGGGUCACUUCCUGAAUGUGAGCAUUAUGGCAAUCCCUUGUCUGUGUUCAAUGGCACCAAGAGGCUUGGCACCUAAUACGAGGUGCCCCUCAUCUUCUGCUUCAGAGCCAGAAGAAAUGAAAUAUGAAUCUUUCUCCUUGUAUGAAGAACUGAAAUUCACACUUGUCAUCUGUUUGUUUUUUUUUAAUUUCCCCUGAACGUGGGAAAUGCUGUUUCUGUGUGGAGGGGUUUUGGGAAACAAACGAGUGUGUAAUCUGGUUGUUGACAUUGACUCAUUUUGCCAUUAGCUCAUUGUGGAGAGCAUACUUUGUGGUGAUCAAAACAGUUAUCCAGGUGAUAAAUAUUUGUACUUGAUGUAUCCAGUUGACCAUUAAACAGAAUAGCAAGUAUAAACUUUGAAGUUAUACAUGAAAUAUAACAUGCUCUCUCAAAAAAGAAUGCAGAAACUCAUAUUUUUAUAUAUGUGCUUGUUUAUCUAUUAAAAAACAAAACCCCACAACACUUGGGCAAGUUGCUGGAAUGAGUCUGAUGUGUUUCAUUUAAUCAUCAUCAGGUGAAAAUAGAUGUGCCUUAAAAGUGUUCCGGUAUUUUUCUUCACAAUUACUGGCUGAUCUGGUGGAAACAAUGUAGAAACAAGAGGUUCUGAUGAAAGUCCUAUUGAGAAGUUUUCUUUGCUACAGGUGUCUUGCUAAGCCUCAUUUACCUCAAGACAGUACCCUCAUGCUGUCCCCUCCUAGUAACUUUCUUUGUUCAGCAUUUCGUAUGUUACCAGUCAGUAGAAACUGAUGAGAAACUGGUUCUUUUUCUUGUUAAACCCAACAGUUUCACCUGCUCUAGGUGGCUCUGCCUUGGCAGGGGGGGUUGGACUGUAUGAUCUCCAGAGGUCCCUUCAAACCCUAACGAUUCUGUGAUUCUGUGAAACUAUUCUUUUUUAGCUUUGCUUUCUCUUUCCGUCUGUUCUGGCACCUGUUUCUCAGUGACAGGGAAUUUUAUGACAACUCCAUGCAGUUAUUGCAGGAUUGAAUGAGCCUGUUUCUCCCACAGUGUAGUUGCUCAGUGGAUCCCCCUUUUUUUUUGCUCUCAGUGGAUCCUUUUUCCCCUCUCUUUAAAAAAACCAAAAAGGUUAGGAGUGCAGUCAGCUAGUAAGGCAGAAAAAGUAGACUCUUCAGACUUGAUGCUUCACUUCUCAUAGUGAAUAGCAUCUUGAAUGUUGCACUAAUUGUUAGAGUCUCAAGACCCAUUAUGGAAGCAUCAGCUAAACUCGGCUAGGUUUCUCCACUCUGUCCUAUUUUCUCCAAGAAGUUUUUGCUGUGUGAAGACAUUUGAAGUGGAAUGAAAGCUUUGACUGCUGCCCGUAUCUCUAGUUGCACUCGUCUAAAUUUGCAGAAACAUGUCAAGAUAUGUUUAACUGUCUGCACUAUGUGAGCCAUGUGAGACAUUCGUUUCUUACAGCAUAGGUGGUGUGCUUUGCUGCAGGUUGGGCUUUCAAAAGAAUUAAUGACAAUUUUUAGUUGCCUCUGAAGAGAAAAGGCUGUAGUGCCAAAAUGCAUUGCCCAGUAGCCUCCUGUGCCCCUCUAUUGCAGCAAAUAUGAUAAGGAGGCAACUUCUUCAAUUUCACAAUCACUGUUUCCUAAAUCAGCAAAGUAAUGCUGUGCCAGGUGACUUAUUCCAUGGUUAUGUAAAAAUUAUCUUUCUGGAUUGUGCUGUGUCAUAGUCUGAGAACAUUCCUGAUGCAGUUGUUCAACGGGGAGAGGUCUGUGGUGGUAGGCUGGCAGCAUUAUUUUUUAAAAUAUUCUUAACAUAUUUUCCAAGCAUACAUGCUGAAUUAAUAAAUAAAUAUAUAUGUAUGAUGUGUAUUCAGAAGAUAUGAAAUACAUAAUCUCUUUACAGAACACAAUCUCAGCUGUGAUUGUCGUGUUCAUCAGAUAGUCUUGUUGAACAUUGAUUUGUCUCUAUAAAUUAAAUGGGACUUAGGCAUCAUUGCAUUGAGAUUCAGGUUGUUAUCUUCUGAGACAAGUUACACUUGCAUUAAGGAAUAUAUGAAUUCUUACUAGCUCAUUGCCUAACCCAGAUUCUCAAAGGUGCUAAAAUUUUAAUGGUGACUGAAUGCCUAGGACCACUGAGCCUGCACUGUGGGGUCUCCUCUUGGUUAAACUCUAGUAUAUGACUGUUUCAUCUUGUACAAAAUUCCUUUAGUUUUUAACUUUUAUGGUCUUUGUGAAAUGUGUAAGUAGAACUGUACUGACAACUGCUAAGAGAGUUUGAAUAGCGGCAUAGCUGAAGAUCCGGAUCUUUGUUAGGGCAGCAUGAGACUUAAUGGAAGAGGUGAAUGAAGCCAUUUGCAGUGGGCUGUAUGAUUGGGAUGGGCUUGCAUGCAUCAUGGCAAUGGCUUUAUGGUAGAGCUCUGUCUCACAGCAUUUAUGGUAAUUAUUCUACUUUGCUGGAGAAAAGUGAAAAGAUAGAUUUGUGAUCCUCAAUGUUUAAAACUACCUGUUAAGGAGAAAAUAAGGGAUGGUAAAUUAUAUGUAUUAGGUUCAAUAAAUUACACAUAUUGAUAAGGGAGUACAUUUUUAUUAUUACAGUGUAUGCUAUAAAUAUACGGAUACUAUAUAAUGUCAAUUGCAUAGUUUAUAUUGAUCUAGAGGGGGUGGCAAAAGAUAUGAAAAACAUUGAGACUAGUCUAUUAAUUAACCUGUUAAACUUCCAAAUUAAUGAAUUUUCUUUUGGGACAUAAAUUGGUUCGCUUUUCAGGUUGAAUAAUGGAAGCAUGGCUCUCAUUGUUGUACAAAAUACUUCUCGAACAGAGUUUAUAAAACAUCUCAAAAGAUAUGCCAGCGUAAAAAAUCAGGUACUGUUAUUUUAUUUCUGGGGAUUAUAAAAAGAACAGUUAAUCGUGAAGAUAGACAUGCUGCAAGAGUUAAUGUUAGCAUCCUCAUAAGGAGACUUAGCUUCCUGUCAGAAUACAUUAGCCCCCUUUUUAUCUGUGUGGUUUUUUUGUUGGAUUUUUUUUUUCUUUUUAAAUCACUGGACUAAUACCGAUUAGCCUAUUUCAGCCCAUCUGUUGUGGUUUAAAUUGUAUUUACGUUGUACCAUAGUUUUAUGGGUGUAAAGCCCUUUCACAACAAUAAAAGAAAUGCAUGCUGUGUUUAAGUUUUGGGUAGUACAGAGAUCAAGAAUGCAGGUUGAGGGAGGCAUCAUGCAACUCUUCAUCAGAAAUAGGUAAAGUUCGUAAUUUCAGUAGAUCACUGCAUGCUAUGCUGGUAGCAGUGGGUUAUGACCAUUGAUUUUUAGCAGUAGGCAUUCCAUUCAGUUAUGAAUGUUUGCAUAAACUGCAUUUCAAAAUUGUGAUUGUUAUUCUGUCUUUGAAGAGAAAAAGGAAGUAUCCAAACACAGUACCAAGUUGCUGUCCUUCAGACCUGGUGUAUAGCCUAAGCACACUAGUACUUGUUCAGAUGUUUCAGGACUAUGCAAAAUCCCUUUUACAAGCUGGAGUUAAGUGUUCCCAUUUACUUAAGACAUAAAGAAAGAGUUAUGUUUGAAUUCAUCAACAGUCAGAGAGUUUGGGGAAGAGGUGGAUGGCAAUUCCAUGUGACAGCACUAAUAGCUGCAUUUAGGAAAUAAUUUUAUGCUUUCUGGUUAUGCUUUUGGAGGAAGGAUUUCCUUUUCUCUUUGCCUUUGUAAUUAGAAAUUAGCUAAGGAGAUGUGGAUUCUCCUUUAAACUGAACAUAACCGUUUACUAGAAUUCUAACUAGCCUUGUUUAAGGCAGGAAUACUGGUAGUGGUGGACAGAGCACAGGAAAAGAUCCACUUGGGCUUUCACAUCUUCUGAAAGCAUGUGCUAUUUUACUGUGUGCAAAAUGUACCACCUCACCUAUAGAUUGAGCACAUCCAAUAUGGGAAUGCAAAUGGAACACUACCAUUUUUUUCUGAGGCAUUAUUUAGGAUAAAAAUAGCAUGUUAAUCUAUAAAUGCUAGCUGGAAUACAUAAUGCCUCGUGAUCAAAGCUGGAGUUAAGUGUUUCCAUUUACUUAAGACCAAAAAGAAGAAAAGGCAAGCUUUCUAAUUUCAAGUAAUCCAGUUUGUUGCUAAGAUACCACCUGUAUCUUUCAUCUUCAUUUAAUAUGUAUCUGUGUUUGGUUUAGUUCAAUUUUCCCUUUGUUGAGACCUACACAGUUCAAGAAGUAAAAGUACAACCACAGCUUAAAAGUGGGCUUGAUGCCAAAGAAAAUACGUAUUUGAAUGCUGCUUCUGCAGAAGAAAAUUACCCUUGGAAUAUAGAUGGAGACUUAAUGAAAGCAGCAUCACAAAUUCAUGUUCGGGUGCAUCCUCAACUUAUUAAUCUCUAUGGAGUCAACACUGAUGACCUGGAGAGUUCCCAAGCAACAUGCAAUUGCAUAUAGAAAGGACACACUGCAAGUUCUGUAUUAAAGCAUCCUUUUCACACCUCUAUGCACAGCUUUACAAGGUCCCAGUCUUUCACUCACUGAAUUCAGUUUUUGUAGCAGAAGCUUAACUGAGAUGUUUGUAAUAUUUCUGGUUUUAAAUUUUUAUCAAGUUACAUAUUUUUAUCAGGUUGUAUCUAUCUGUAAAGGUUUAACAAGAAAAAAUGAAAACUGAUUAUAUUGGUCUCUUCUAAAACUUGGGGUUUGAGAAGUGUCCAUUAGAAUAAAGUAGAUUUUUUUUUUUCCCUUAAAAUUAUUUUAGAUUUUGUAAUAAAUUUAGUAUGAGAUACUUUCAAGUCUUCUGCUGCUAUCCAUGUUGUCAGGUAACUCAGUUCAAAUAGAGCUGGGGAGUGGAUGUAUGGUACCAGCUCAUGCUGAAGAAUGGUGGCAAAAUACAAUUUGUUCAUAUUUUUAAAUCAAGUCCUUCCGUUUCUAGUUAUAAUUUUUAACAUUGCCUUAAUGUAUUUGCUUCCAAAUAGUUUCUAGUCAAACAGUAAUACAAAAGAAUACGCUGAUGUCUUAUAUGGCUUUUCGCUUGUUGAAAUGUAUUUUAAAGACCACUGUUUGUACAAACUAAAUAUUUAAAAGUAUUUUAUCUUCCCUAGAACCAAAAUGAUAUUCAGCAUAGGUUGUUUUUUUUUGCUGCUGAGAAUAAAGCUAUGAUAAAUAACUUAGAGUUGACUUAAAUUUUUAUAAUUUCUUUAUAGGGCAUAAACAAUUUUUAUGGGGGGUUUGUAACUUAUUUAAUAUUUGAUACAACUAUUAGAGAUGCCAGCAAAUUCAGAUUAUAUUCUUUCUGGGAAGUGGAUUUCUCUAAGUUGGCAAAGUAGCAGAUGAACAAGUUUGUCCGUCUGCUGGAUCAGUGGGAUAACGUUUUCCUGCUCGCUUGUCUAUGAAUUGUUCAGAAGGUGGCUGAUAAAUAAUGGUAUGAAAGCUGCAUUGUCUUGUGGCAAGAAUGAGUUCCUUUAAGUUCGUUUUUCAGUCAGCAGUUGACUAUAAUGUGAAAUCCAGUCCUUUAAGAUUCUGUUAAAUCAAGGGCCUAAGCCCUUACAUGGGAUCUACAGCUACUCUAUUUUAUUUGAUUUCAAAUACUACUUGUGAAAAAUUCUUACCUGUGAUAGAUAUGUAAGACAAAGUAGUGCACCUAAAGUACUGCAGAUGGUCUUGUGCCUCCCAUGAACAAACUAUUAUUUGUUGGAAAUCUCAUGCCAUUUCUGUGGACAAACCUGGCCAAUAGUAAGAGCCAAAUUCAUAUACAAUCAAAUGCCUGCUUCGUAGGUAAUUAAUUAUCACAGGAUUCUUAUAGCUAGUUCUGCUCUUUGUAUGGAAGUUAGCAGCUGCAGAGUAGGAUCAAGAGUCAUGAUAUCCUUUGGGUUGGACCUGGCCCCAGCAGGACUCUAGCCCAACCUCCUACUCAGGGCAGGUCCAGCUAUGAGAUCAGAUCUGGUUACAGAGCUUUGUCAUGUCUGGCAAUGAAACCUCCAAGGAGGGAAGUGACAGCUUGUCUGCUCCCCUGUUCUGAUGCCUGUCUGUUCUGGGGAGGAAAGUGUUUUUCCUCAUGUCCAGCUGGAACCUCUCAUUUCAGUUUACACCAGUUGUCUGAGUCACAGUGAGUACUCGCCUGUUAAACUACUAUAAUUAAUACUAUAGUACAUCAAAUAUUUUUAACAUGUUAAGAUAAUUUAAACUUCCAAAAGUUGCCCAAGAAAGAGAUUCCAGCUACGUUUAGUAGAUUUAACUGUUAUUACAUAACUGAAAAAUCAACAAUUGAACUUCCAGAAGAAACAGCAUUC